rnacentral:misc_RNA from 1 species
UUUCCGUAGGUGAACCUGCGGAAGGAUCAUUAACGAGUUAGGGUCUUCUAGGCCCGACCUCCCAACCCUUUGUUUACUGAACCAUUGUUGCCUCGGUGGGUCCGUCUUACGACCGCCGGGGGAUCGCCGCGAGGCGCCCCCUGGCCAGCGCCCACCGAUAGCCCAACCUUUAAAACCCUUUGUGAAUCGUGUCUUAUGUCUAAUUUAUGAUUAAACAAUCAAAACAAAACUUUCAACAACGGAUCUCUUGGUUCUG